AACCUAGCACACCUGCGGUGUGUACCUGCGGAAGGAUCAUUAUCGAAAACAUGCAAGUCCAAAAGGCUAAGGGGGGGAAGACUGUCGCUGGCAGACGUUUGCAUGUGCACGUCCUCCUCUAUCCUUUCCUUUUGGCAACACAUCGUUACACCUGUGCACCUACUGUAGGUCUGUUCCUCCCUCGCUCGGGGGAGGGUAGAUCUAUGUCUCUCUAUCACACCGAACGUAUGUCUACAGAAU
rnacentral:misc_RNA from 1 species